rnacentral:rRNA from 1 species
UACGGAGGGUGCAAGCGUUAUCCGGAUUCACUGGGUUUAAAGGGUGCGUAGGCGGGCAGGUAAGUCAGUGGUGAAAUCUCCGGGCUUAACCCGGAAACUGCCGUUGAUACUAUCUGUCUUGAAUAUCGUGGAGGUAAGCGGAAUAUGUCAUGUAGCGGUGAAAUGCUUAGAUAUGACAUAGAACACCCAUUGCGAAGGCAGCUCACUACGCAUAUAUUGACGCUGAUGCACGAAAGCGUGGGGAUCAAACAGG